GGGCCCGCACAAGCGGUGGAGUAUGUGGUUUAAUUCGAUGCAACGCGAAGAACCUUACCAGGGUUUAAAUGCAGAACGACAGGGGUGGAAACACCCCCUUCUUCGGACGGACUGCAAGGUGCUGCAUGGUUGUCGUCAGCUCGUGCUGUGAAGUGUCGGGUUAAGUCCCAUAACGAGCGCAACCCCCAUUUCUAGUUGCCAGCGGUUCGGCCGGGGACUCUAGAGAAACUGCCAGCGUAAGCUGUGAGGAAGGUGGGGAUGACGUCAAAUCAUCACGGCCCUUACAUCCUGGGCCACACACGUGCUACAAUGGUGGGGACAACAGGUUGCCAACCCGCGAGGGUGAGCCAAUCCCAAAACCCCAUCUCAGUUCGGAUCGGAGUCUGCAACUCGACUCCGUGAAGUUGGAAUCGCUAGUAAUCG
rnacentral:rRNA from 1 species